AGCUUGCUCUCUGAUUCAGCGGCGGACGGGUGAGUAAUGCCUAGGAAUCUGCCUAUUAGUGGGGGACAACGUUUCGAAAGGAACGCUAAUACCGCAUACGUCCUACGGGAGAAAGCAGGGGACCUUCGGGCCUUGCGCUAAUAGAUGAGCCUAGGUCGGAUUAGCUAGUUGGUGAGGUAAAGGCUCACCAAGGCGACGAUCCGUAACUGGUCUGAGAGGAUGAUCAGUCACACUGGAACUGAGACACGGUCCAGACUCCUACGGGAGGCAGCAGUGGGGAAUAUUGGACAAUGGGCGAAAGCCUGAUCCAGCCAUGCCGCGUGUGUGAAGAAGGUCUUCGGAUUGUAAAGCACUUUAAGUUGGGAGGAAGGGCAGUAAGUUAAUACCUUGCUGUUUUGACGUUACCGACAGAAUAAGCACCGGCUAACUUCGUGCCA
rnacentral:rRNA from 1 species